UCAUCACCUGCAGCCGCAUUUAGAUACAUCCGAGGGGCCAAAUGUAAAAUUCACAAGAGACUCCUCCAGUCUCGAUCGCGACUAAAUCCCUUCAUCAACUCCUUGUUCACCAGGUGAAGCGCUGAAAAGUUUUCAAACUGCGGCUCCCAGCCUCGUGUUAGCCCUUUCAGAGAGUUUGUCAAAUCUGCUGCUUACUGUGGGCGGCCAGGAGCAAACAGACGGUCGGGAGGAGUUCCCGGGAAAACUGCUGUAGGAGACGCUUUACAGGUGCACCCAGAGGCUGGAGUUCCGCAGUUUCUGUAAAACAGUAACGUUCAGAAGCCGGUAACCACCGCCAACCUCCCCGGUCACAGUAUCAAAUCUGAUCCAACAUCCAUUUGAGGCAGAUCAGUGCGGCGCACAGAAAGCCGUCUCAGUGUUAAUAAGAAACAAUCAGGAACUGUCCUGCUACAUUUCGCAACUAUUUGGUGUUUUUCCUAUCCUCCUUAAUGAGCAGGGAAUUCUUCCCAAAUGUAACUGAUAAAACAUUAAAUGUCACCGUUACAAAUAAAACAAUUACACGCGGCUUUUUUUUUUACAAAAUACACUUUCAUAAAAACGACAGAUGCAGCCAUAUGACGGACCUGCGGCCUUAGGACGAUUAAAUGCUCUGACAGAAAAAAAAUACAACAGUUUACAAUCUAAUUGAAACAUGAUAUCAUUCAAAUCCAUCACAUAGUUUAUUAAAAUGAGAGUGAAAGUGUGUGUAAAUGAUGGGAGAUCUUCUAGUGCAUCUCUCUCACUGAAUGAGACACUUA